AUUGAACGCUGGCGGCAUGCCUUACACAUGCAAGUCGAACGGCAGCACGGGUGCUUGCACCUGGUGGCGAGUGGCGAACGGGUGAGUAAUACAUCGGAACAUGUCCUGUAGUGGGGGAUAGCCCGGCGAAAGCCGGAUUAAUACCGCAUACGAUCUACGGAUGAAAGCGGGGGACCUUCGGGCCUCGCGCUAUGGGGUUGGCCGAUGGCUGAUUAGCUAGUUGGUGGGGUAUAGGCCUACCAAGGCGACGACCAGUAGCUGGUCUGAGAGGAGGACCAGCCACACUGGGACUGAGACACGGGGGAGAUUUUUACGGGAGGGCGGAGUGGGGAAUCUUGGAAACCGGGGGGAAGCAUGAGGCCGCAAUGUUGCGAGAGUGAUGAAGGCCUUAGGGAAGUAAUGCUCUUUUACCCGGGAGGAUAAUGACAGUACCGGGAGAAUAAGCCCCGGCUAACUCCGUG
rnacentral:rRNA from 1 species